UACAGGGGUCUCAAGCGUUGUUCGGAUUCAUUGGGCGUAAAGGGUGCGUAGGUGGCGCCGUAAGUCGGGUGUGAAAUUUCGGAGCUUAACUCCGAAACUGCAUUCGAUACUGCGGUGCUUGAGGACUGGAGAGGAGACUGGAAUUCAUGGUGUAGCAGUGAAAUGCGUAGAGAUCAUGAGGAAGACCAGUGGCGAAGGCGGAUCUCUGGACAGUUCCUGACGCUGAGGCGCGAAGGCCAGGGGAGCAAACGGG
rnacentral:rRNA from 1 species